rnacentral:ncRNA from 20 species
AACUCAUCCAGAGGGGUGGAGGGAUCGGCCCUAUGAAACCCCGGCAACCGCAGGCAGCAAUGCUUGGACUGGUGCUAAGUCCGACAGAAUCAUUCUGGAAGAUGAGGG